GCGUGUGGUCAGAAGGCUGCAUCUGGGAACGCCUUCCUGUGGUGUUGUAACAGGCUGAAUGGCAUCACAGCACACAAGAGAGGGGUGGAGCGAGGCCACUGUCUCAGGAGUGGGAAGGAAUAUUGAAGAGUUCUAGUUGCUCCAUCAGGUUGAUUCAUCUAGGAGGUGAAAGUGGGUAGAGAACAGCAUUCAGAGCCCCAGUCUGCACUUAUCCAUCCACUCCGGUAGAUAAUCCAGUUUGAAAAAGUAAGAAGCAUAUUUUCUCUUCAAGUCCUAGUUGUGCUCUUCAAUUUAGCUUUUCCAGCAAUAAAGCUG
rnacentral:lncRNA from 1 species